AGCGUACACGGUGGAUGCCCUGGCAGUCAGAGGCGAUGAAGGACGUGCUAAUCUGCGAUAAGCGUCGGUAAGGUGAUAUGAACCGUUAUAACCGGCGAUUUCCGAAUGGGGAAACCCAGUGUGAUUCGUCACACUAUCAUUAACUGAAUCCAUAGGUUAAUGAGGCGAACCGGGGGAACUGAAACAUCUAAGUACCCCGAGGAAAAGAAAUCAACCGAGAUUCCCCCAGUAGCGGCGAGCGAACGGGGAGCAGCCCAGAGCCUGAAUCAGUGUGUGUGUUAGUGGAAGCGUCUGGAAAGGCGCGCGAUACAGGGUGACAGCCCCGUACACAAAAAUGCACAUGCUGUGAGCUCGAUGAGUAGGGCGGGACACGUGGUAUCCUGUCUGAAUAUGGGGGGACCAUCCUCCAAGGCUAAAUACUCCUGACUGACCGAUAGUGAACCAGUACCGUGAGGGAAAGGCGAAAAGAACCCCGGCGAGGGGAGUGAAAAAGAACCUGAAACCGUGUACGUACAAGCAGUGGGAGCACGCUUAGGCGUGUGACUGCGUACCUUUUGUAUAAUGGGUCAGCGACUUAUAUUCUGUAGCAAGGUUAACCGAAUAGGGGAGCCGAAGGGAAACCGAGUCUUAACUGGGCGUUAAGUUGCAGGGUAUAGACCCGAAACCCGGUGAUCUAGCCAUGGGCAGGUUGAAGGUUGGGUAACACUAACUGGAGGACCGAACCGACUAAUGUUGAAAAAUUAGCGGAUGACUUGUGGCUGGGGGUGAAAGGCCAAUCAAACCGGGAGAUAGCUGGUUCUCCCCGAAAGCUAUUUAGGUAGCGCCUCGUGAAUUCAUCUCCGGGGGUAGAGCACUGUUUCGGCAAGGGGGUCAUCCCGACUUACCAACCCGAUGCAAACUGCGAAUACCGGAGAAUGUUAUCACGGGAGACACACGGCGGGUGCUAACGUCCGUCGUGAAGAGGGAAACAACCCAGACCGCCAGCUAAGGUCCCAAAGUCAUGGUUAAGUGGGAAACGAUGUGGGAAGGCCCAGACAGCCAGGAUGUUGGCUUAGAAGCAGCCAUCAUUUAAAGAAAGCGUAAUAGCUCACUGGUCGAGUCGGCCUGCGCGGAAGAUGUAACGGGGCUAAACCAUGCACCGAAGCUGCGGCAGCGACACUAUGUGUUGUUGGGUAGGGGAGCGUUCUGUAAGCCUGUGAAGGUGUACUGUGAGGUAUGCUGGAGGUAUCAGAAGUGCGAAUGCUGACAUAAGUAACGAUAAAGCGGGUGAAAAGCCCGCUCGCCGGAAGACCAAGGGUUCCUGUCCAACGUUAAUCGGGGCAGGGUGAGUCGACCCCUAAGGCGAGGCCGAAAGGCGUAGUCGAUGGGAAACAGGUUAAUAUUCCUGUACUUGGUGUUACUGCGAAGGGGGGACGGAGAAGGCUAUGUUGGCCGGGCGACGGUUGUCCCGGUUUAAGCGUGUAGGCUGGUUUUCCAGGCAAAUCCGGAAAAUCAAGGCUGAGGCGUGAUGACGAGGCACUACGGUGCUGAAGCAACAAAUGCCCUGCUUCCAGGAAAAGCCUCUAAGCAUCAGGUAACAUCAAAUCGUACCCCAAACCGACACAGGUGGUCAGGUAGAGAAUACCAAGGCGCUUGAGAGAACUCGGGUGAAGGAACUAGGCAAAAUGGUGCCGUAACUUCGGGAGAAGGCACGCUGAUAUGUAGGUGAAGUCCCUCGCGGAUGGAGCUGAAAUCAGUCGAAGAUACCAGCUGGCUGCAACUGUUUAUUAAAAACACAGCACUGUGCAAACACGAAAGUGGACGUAUACGGUGUGACGCCUGCCCGGUGCCGGAAGGUUAAUUGAUGGGGUCAGCGCAAGCGAAGCUCUUGAUCGAAGCCCCGGUAAACGGCGGCCGUAACUAUAACGGUCCUAAGGUAGCGAAAUUCCUUGUCGGGUAAGUUCCGACCUGCACGAAUGGCGUAAUGAUGGCCAGGCUGUCUCCACCCGAGACUCAGUGAAAUUGAACUCGCUGUGAAGAUGCAGUGUACCCGCGGCAAGACGGAAAGACCCCGUGAACCUUUACUAUAGCUUGACACUGAACAUUGAGCCUUGAUGUGUAGGAUAGGUGGGAGGCUUUGAAGUGUGGACGCCAGUCUGCAUGGAGCCGACCUUGAAAUACCACCCUUUAAUGUUUGAUGUUCUAACGUGGACCCGUGAUCCGGGUUGCGGACAGUGUCUGGUGGGUAGUUUGACUGGGGCGGUCUCCUCCUAAAGAGUAACGGAGG
rnacentral:rRNA from 1 species